UUACGCCCAUAUCACGUUGAAACAUCGGUUUCCGUAUGAUCACCGAAUUUAAGCAACGUCGAACCUGGUCAGUACGUAGAUGGGUGACAGUUUCGGAAUACCAAGUG